rnacentral:rRNA from 1 species
UACGAAGGGGGCUAGCGUUGUUCGGAUUUACUGGGCGUAAAGCGCACGUAGGCGGAUUGGUCAGUUAGGGGUGAAAUCCCAGAGCUCAACUCUGGAACUGCCUUUAAUACUGCCAAUCUCGAGUCCGGAAGAGGUGAGUGGAACUCCUAGUGUAGAGGUGGAAUUCGUAGAUAUUAGGAAGAACACCAGUGGCGAAGGCGGCUCACUGGUCCGGUACUGACGCUGAGGUGCGAAAGCGUGGGGAGCAAACAGG